CCUACGGGUGGCAGCAGUGAGGAAUAUUGGUCAAUGGGCGCGAGCCUGAACCAGCCAAGUCGCGUGAGGGAGGACGGCCCUACGGGUUGUAAACUUCUUUUGCCGGGGAGUAACGGGCGCCACGUGUGGCGUCAUUGAGAGUACCCGGAGAUAAAGCAUUGGCUAAUUCCGUGCCAGCAGCCGCGGUAUUACGGAGGAUGCGAGCGUUAUCGGGUUUUAUGGGGUUUAAAGGGUUCGAGGGCGGAUUGUAAGGUAAGUGGUCAAGUUGGGGGGUUAACCCCGUUCCCGCCAUUGAAACUGGCGUUCUUGAGUGGAAGAGAAGUAUGCGGAAUGCGUGGUGUAGCGGUGAAAUGCAUAGAUAUCACGCAGAACCCCGAUUGCGAAGGCAGCAUGCCGGCUUCCGACUGACGCUGAAGCACGAAAGCGUGGGGAUCGAACAGGAUUAGAUACCCUUGUAGUC
rnacentral:rRNA from 1 species